UAUUAAAAAUUUCAUCCAUUUGUACUGGUAAAAAUUCACAUGAUUGACGGAAUAAUCAGACAAUAACAUUGCGUGUGGUAUGUGUAUAUCAUGCUAAUGUAUGGAGACUAAUUUUUAAACGUAAAAAUAAAUAAAUUUUUUAUCA
rfam:Gossypium raimondii Chr09_contig_1697, whole genome shotgun sequence.